rnacentral:rRNA from 1 species
GACGAACGCUGGCGGCGUGCUUAACACAUGCAAGUCGAACGGAAAGGCCCUGCUUUUGUGGGGUGCUCGAGUGGCGAACGGGUGAGUAACACGUGAGUAACCUGCCCUUGACUUUGGGAUAACUUCAGGAAACUGGGGCUAAUACCGGAUAGGAGCUCCUGCUGCAUGGUGGGGGUUGGAAAGUUUCGGCGGUUGGGGGUGGACUCGCGGCUUAUCAGCUUGUUGGUGGGGUAGUGGCUUACCAAGGCUUUGACGGGUAGCCGGCCUGAGAGGGUGACCGGCCACAUUGGGACUGAGAUACGGCCCAGACUCCUACGGGAGGCAGCAGGGGGGAAUAUUGCACAAUGGGCGGAAGCCUGAUGCAGCAACGCCGCGUGCGGGAUGACGGCCUUCGGGUUGUAAACCGCUUUCGCCUGUGACGAAGCGUGAGUGACGGUAAUGGGUAAAGAAGCACCGGCUAACUACGUG